rnacentral:rRNA from 1 species
AACGAACGCUGGCGGAAUGCAUAACACAUGCAAGUCGAACGAGACCUUAGAGAAUAGUGGAGAAAGGGUAAGUACCACGUGGGAAAAUAAACUUAGGUUCGAAAUAACUCCCCGAAAGGGGUGCUAAUACCGGAUAAUGUCUUCGGACCAAAGAUUUAUCGCCUUUGGAUGGGCCCGCGUUGGAUUAGCUAGUUGGUAGGGUAAAAGCCUACCAAGGCGACGAUCCAUAGCUGGUCUGAGAGGAUGAUCAGCCACACUGGGACUGAGACACGGCCCAGACUCCUACGGGAGGCAGCAGUGGGGAAUAUUGGACAAUGGGCGAAAGCCUGAUCCAGCAAUGCCGCGUGAGUGAUGAAGGCCUUAGUGUUGUAAAGCUCUUUUACCCGGGAUGAUAAUGACAGUACCGGGAGAAUAAGCUCCGGCUAACUCCGUG